GACGAACGCUGGCGGCGUGCUUAACACAUGCAAGUCGAACGGAAAGGCCCUGCUUGCAGGGUACUCGAGUGGCGAACGGGUGAGUAACACGUGGGUGAUCUGCCCUGCACUUCGGGAUAAGCCUGGGAAACUGGGUCUAAUACCGGAUAGGAGCCAUUUUUAGUGUGAUGGUUGGAAAGUUUUUUCGGUGUAGGAUGAGCUCGCGGCCUAUCAGCUUGUUGGUGGGGUAAUGGCCUACCAAGGCGGCGACGGGUAGCCGGCCUGAGAGGGUGGACGGCCACACUGGGACUGAGGUGCGGCCCAGACUCCUACGGGAGGCAGCAGGGGGGAAUAUUGCACAAUGGGCGCCAGGCUGAUGCAGCGGCGCCGCGGGGGGGAUGACGGCCUUCGGGUUGUAAACUCCUUUCGCUAGGGACGAAGCUUUUUGUGACGGUACCUAGAUAAGAAGCACCGGCUAACUACGUG
rnacentral:rRNA from 1 species